UACGGGGGGGGCAAGCGUUGUUCGGAAUUACUGGGCGUAAAGGGCUCGUAGGUGGCCAACUAAGUCAGACGUGAAAUCCCUCGGCUUAACCGGGGAACUGCGUCUGAUACUGGAUGGCUUGAGAUUGGGAGAGGGAUGCGGAAUUCCAGGUGUAGCGGUGAAAUGCGUAGAUAUCUGGAGGAACACCGGUGGCGAAGGCGGCUCACUGGCCCGGUACUGACGCUGAGGUGCGAAAGCGUGGGGAGCAAACAGG
rnacentral:rRNA from 1 species